CCACUGAAUCAAAGAUAACAAAAUUACAUUUUGUUUUGCCAUGACCUCCAUUAUACAUCACACGGAAGAACAAAAAUUAAAGAAAAAAAAUCAAAGACACUGUUUUAUAUAUAUUUAUAUAUAUAUAUAUAAUUUUAAAGGUAAACAUCAGCAGAUAUAGAAAAAUUGCAUUGCUAGUUGCAAAUCAUCUCCCCUGCAGCUGUCAGCUUCAGAGAAUCUGACUCAGAACAUGGCAGCAGGAGGGUAUCUCGGUACACAAGCUUCUUCAGGGCAGCAUUUAGAGAUUGUUCCAGAGUAUAACUGUGCCAAAUUGAGAACAUUCUCACAGUAAACCGCACUGCUCACCGAGAGCAUCAGAAGUCACUCAGUCUGUUCUAACACGGCUGCAUGGGCAGCACAAGAAGAGGACAGGCCUGCCUUUCUGAGGGCUCCACGCAGCCUCCAGUUUGGCAUUUCAGAGAAAGGGCUCCUCUUGCAAAGAGGUGAAUGCUUUCUCCAGAGUUUCUAGUGAUGUGUCAUUGGGAAAUAGGGGAGAGCUGUCAGAAAACAUGCUCCUUUGGAAAGCUGCUGACUUGGGCUGAGCAGUAAGGUUUGGUUAUGUCAGACUCGUCAUCAGAAGGGUCAGCAUCCCUGCAAAGCUGUAACGGAGAUCCUAGAAGGAAAUUCUGCAUCUAAUCGAAGCUCUUGCAUGUCUGCUGACAGAUGAUGCAAGCUCGUCAUUCAGACAACAGCAGGAAGGCUUUGUGUAGAGCCACCUAGUGGGACCGCUCCUCACUGGCAUUAAAGUCACCUGGGUUAGGCAAGGCCAUAGGGUGAGAAGAAGAGUCAUGGUCUAUCCACAGAGCACACAGGGCCAGGGUUUUUUGAGAGUGUUAUCAGACAGACACGGAAAAGAUUGUUUGACACCAACAGAUCCAACCUGAUAAAUGCUGCCCUGGAUUGCAGUGUUUUUGUCCAUUGAUUAACCAGCAAAACCAAGAGUGUUCAAAACAAAGUGUUCGAAAUGGAAUCGUUCAGGAUAAUCCCAGAAACCCUUUUGCUGCAGUGUGGAGAGCUGGCAACUGCUUGGACUCAUUGACAGCACUUACGUCUGAGCUUCCCUAAGAGCUGAGAGAAGCCCAGGCCACUGUAAGCGACACUCCCAGCAAUAAAAGGGGCACGGUUACAAGGCAGCCCUUGCUUGGGUCUGUGUUGCUUUGGGCCGUUCUAAGCUUGGAUAAAGCUCAGGAAGCCCUGACACCAAGACAAGCUGUUUGCUUUUUGCCUGGGAUCAGAAACCCUGGAAGGAAACACUGCUUGAGUUGCUGUGGCUCUGGGACCUGCCCAACCAACAGACCUGCCAGAAUAAGGACAUGGACCAGGACUUGACAUGACACUCUACACAACAAAUGACUUACACGCGCAGCACAAGACCAGGGCCUUUUCUGAUCUCCUUGGAAAAGGCUGUAAAGAAUUUCAAUGAACUCCAGACAGAUAUUAUGUUACUUAAGAAAAGACAACUUGGAAGCAAUCCAGGUGACUGAACUGUUUGGCAAUUAAUUCCUGAAGUUACUGCUCUGCUCUUUUGAGCUGUAGCCGUCUUCAGCUUUGCUGCUGAAGAGUUGAUAGACACUAUAACUUUGGGGCUAUAUGGUACAAAGUCACAUAUUAAGCUAACCCUCCCUCUAGGACUUAAUCCCUAUGGCCAGAGGCAAAUUUGAGGAGCAGAGCUGAAAGACGAUCCCCUGAUUAUAUACAUUGCUAUUUUAAGCAUUGGAAUAGACUAUAGCGAGUCGUAGGCUGCCCACAAAAGUCCUUUAAGUCAGCACACACUGGUAGGGUGUGCAUCACCAGAGGUGUCUCACUGCCUGGUGUCUGAGAUGUCCUUACUAGAAAGCAAAGCCCCAGAGCUCUGACAGCUGUUACUGAAGUCUCUACAUAUGCUGAUGUCAAGGGAGAAGAAAAAGGGCAAGGCACCACGUGUCAGAGGGCUGUGGUCCAGGAACUUGUGACAGACCCAGGACAGAUGACACACAAGUAGCCUGGCUAAAUUCAAUACUGGAGAUAAUAGUUCUUAAUGUCCUUGCUUAAUGCCCUGUCUCUGUAACCUGUAUCUUCAUAAACCAAGACCUGCAGAAAAGCCAUCAGGAAAAGACUGCAGGGAGGUUCAAGUGUGCCUUUACAGUACAACCACAGCACUGCCGACCCAUUUGAAAACACCUUCCAUUUAGAUUCCAACAAAAGGAUCAUUAAAUAUGCUGGCAGAUCUCAUGUAAUAGAAGCUGCAAGUUCCUUGUAUUCAGUUCGAGCAGGUCCCAGCUGCUCACCUACAAGCUUCAGAUCCCUCCAUACACUGACUAAGAUGGUGGUUGGACCAGCCUAACCACCAACAAAAUAAGUCCUGCAACUUGCUAUCUGAUUGAGAGUGUCCUUAUUUAAGUGCUACUUACAGUGAUGGGAAGAGAGGUCUAUACUACAUGAGAAUAAAUGAAGAGCUCUGCUAAUGCGUUUUCUAAUCUCACUCUGGAACUAAAAAGAGCUCAAGACAGAUUCAUCAUACUGGAGGCUUCAACUGUAAUGAUGUAGAAGUACACGCUUUGACUACCUCAUUUGUUUUGACAUGAGAUGAAAAAGACAACUUCACCUCCGAGAUGAAGAAUCCAUAUUGCAUUUUGGGUUCACUGGGCAAGUGAGGACCGUUUGGUGACAUCACAAAAGUAGCACUGCCUAAUUUUGGGAGAGAAAAGCAUUUCAGCUUCGGAUUGGACAAAGUCCCAUCCUGUCUGUUCUACGGGCACUAGAUAUCAUUGCCAGUCAUUGUCAGCAGCAAAAUUUAGCACUGGAUUUCCUUUUUUGAAGGUCUUUAGAUAACGUGCACUGCAGCUUACCUUUCUCUUCUCCUACUGCUUCCUUGGGAUCUCCAAAUUACUGCUGAAAGUUUGACAACACGAGCAUUGCUUUGAAAAAGUAGCAUCAAAUUGGGUGGGAUGGGGAGAAGAGAUUUUUACCGUUUCCACCUACAUCAAAGCUAGUGAGGCUCAGGAACCUCUGCAAGCUACGCCAAAGCUCUUCCUUCCCAAAUGGGCUACAUUAGCUGGUCAAACCACAAGUGGUAUGAGUAGCUGUGGAUGCAAGUAGAAAUUGCAAAAAAAACAGAUCAAUUAAGCAGGACAGACCUAUAUCACUUCUCUAGUGGAAAGUAUCAAGAAUUUCACAGCACCUCUGAAAUAUGAAGGUAUGGGCUACAGGGCACAAAGAAAGAGUAUUCCUUGAAAAAAGUCCUAAAGCAAAACCUCAAUUCAACAAAGCUACAGCUCUUGCUGCAUUAUGAACUGCCCAGAUGUUUACCUCAUUUUUGGAAAUAUGUGCUUAAAAAGGUUUAUGGUUGACUGGCUAUCUGCAAUAGCAGCCAGAACAAAAUAAAGGUGCAUUUGGGGAAGUAAUUUCUUCCUAUCUUAGAAACAAGAAAACCCUAUUUCAAAACCUGGUUUGUCAAGGACGAUCUCCAUUACAAAAAGGAAGGAGGAAAAGCUCCUCAGGAAAACCUUUCCAUAACAAAGCUCCGCUUUCAGAUGAACUGGCAUGACCUGGUGGAAAAGCACUGUGUUCCUUCACCUCAACUCAGAAGCAAGAGAACAGUUCUCUCUCACUUGUACCUUUAGUGUUCUGGAUCAGUCAACAGCUGAACUGUUCCUUUGAGUUUGGGGGUCCUGUGAAGGAAGGCAGAACUUCAGCCAUGCGGGCUGAAAGCUCAGCAUUACUCUAAUAACACUCAUACUUGAGGCAGGCAGGUAUUUUGCUUGCCAAGGUUUCAUACAUACUGUCCUUCAUUUCAUAGUUAUCUACAGGGUGGGUCAUACGAUGGGCUCU
rnacentral:lncRNA from 1 species